rnacentral:sRNA from 1 species
AUGUUGUUGAUGCUACUUCCGUCGCUGCUGAACGAGCUGGAGCGAGAUGGAAUUGAUGCUGCAUGGUCCAGCUUGGAUGUCCCACUCUUGCAACUCCGAUUGGAGUCUUCGCGGCGGAGGGUGGCAAACAUUUUGUUUAAAUCUUGAUGGAGACCUGAUGUUCCUUGGCGAGCAGCGACCUCAGCUUCGUAAUUCUACAGAAGGAAAAUCAAAAUUUAUUCAGAUUUGUUUAUAUUUGUAUAUGAUUAGGCGUUUUGCACAGUUAUAUGUAGCAUUGACAUACCAUAAAUAGGUCAUCAUCUCUUUCUCGGUAACAAAUGGCCAUGAUGAAGUCACAGAUGUUGGAAAAGUUUUCCAGUCUUAAGUAGUGACCUCCAGUUUCUUUAGCCAUUGUUACAUAGAAAUCCUCCACUCCAUCGUUAUUCAUGGCUUGGACAGCGUAGAUUUUUAUUCCCUACAAAAGAUAAAGGAAUUGUUGACAACAAAUGAAUGUUUUAAAGGUUGACAAAAAUCCUUCAAACCUGAUUUUUUUUUAUUUUUUUUUAAACUUGAGAUCUUUUGACAUUUUUGAUGGAAAUGUAGUUUCUGUUCUUACCUGCUUUGCAAGGAGUGACACUUCAUCUCUCCAGUUGAUUUUAUCCACGUUCAGUUUGUAAUCAGGUUCAUGAGGGUUUGCGUCCCCUAUCAUGACCAGAACUUUGUUCGACACCGGUGCCCAUGUGAACUCCUUAUUCGCUUUUCUAAGAAUGAGUUCGUAACACUCGUCCUGGUCCCCGCCUCCCGUUCCUUCUACCUCGCCCACGAACUGACUCAGUUCAGCCACAUUCUGUGUAAAGUCGAUGUGCUUUUCCAAGUAAAAGACCUCUUCGUCACAAUAGUCCCCGUGAGCUAUCACUCCUAUUCUAAUGCCCGGGGUAUCGGCCUGAAGUCUCUGUAUCAUGUCACUUAACCGACUUUUGACCUCUUCUAAUAUGUAUGACAUUGACCCAGUGGUGUCGAAUGAAAACAAGAUGUCCAUGGCACCACCCGGUGGCAUCCUGAAUCCUGACAUUGAUGACAUGUUUAUCUGUAGAAAGGAAAAUACGGAACCUGUAUAUUGAAUAUCCGUUUUAUUUAUUUGCUGUUGUUUAAUAAUUUUCAUUUUUACUGGAUUUACCUUUUUCAGAUACGUUCCGCUUUUCAGUGUUAAAGAUGGUUCUAUAAGCUAUUAUAUAUUUUUUUUAUUUGCAUCCACUGUGGCAGAAUGCUGCAUACUUAUACCAUCAUUUAGAAGACUACUGAUCCAAUCUAGACUGCCGAUUAAUAUAUAGACUGAUGAUUAGUGCAGACUGGUGAUUUAACAUUUUAAUGUAUACCUGGGAAAAAUUCUCUUUGAUACAUAAAUUAAGACUUUUUACAAAUAAACUACAAAAUGCCUGC